rnacentral:rRNA from 1 species
CCUACGGGAGGCAGCAGUGAGGAAUUUUCCGCAAUGGGCGAAAGCCUGACGGAGCAAUGCCGCGUGGAGGAGGAAGGCCUGUGGGUCGUAAACUCCUUUUCUCAGAGAAGAAGUUCUGACGGUAUCUGAGGAAUAAGCAUCGGCUAACUCUGUGCCAGCAGCCGCGGUAAUACAGGGGAUGCAAGCGUUAUCCGGAAUUAUUGGGCGUAAAGCGUCCUGAGGUGGCUUACCCAGUCGACUGUGAAAGCUCAAGGCUUAACCUUGAAACGGCAGUCGAAACUUGUAAGCUUGAGUACGGUAGGGGCAGAGGGAAUUCCCGGAGGAGAGGUGAAAUUCGUAGAUAUCGGGAGGAAGGCCAAAGGCGAAAGCACUCUGCUGGGCCGAUUACUGACACUGACAGACGAAAGCUAGGGGAGCGAAAGGGAUUAGAUACCCCUGUAGUCCUAGCCGUAAACGAUGGAUACUAAGUGUUGCGCGACUCAAAACGUGCAGUGCUGCAGCUAACGCGGUAAGUAUCCCGCCUGGGGAGUAUGCCCGCAAGGGUGAAACUCAAAUGAAUUGACGG